UACGAAAUAUUGAAACUGAUC
rnacentral:piRNA from 1 species